GACCCGAUGGUGCAGCGGUUAGCACGCCCACUUAAAGUAGAAUAUAAAAUUCGGGUUAUGUAGGAGAUCCCCGUUCGAUUCGGGGUCGGAUCU